AGUGAACGCUGGAGGCGUGCUUAACACAUGCAAGUCGAACGAUGAACCUAGCUUGCUAGGGGAUUAGUGGCGCACGGGUGAGUAAUAUAUAGAUAACGUGCCUCUUAGUCUGGGAUAGCCAUUGGAAACGAUGAUUAAUACUAGAUAUUCCUUCUGAUCUUAAGAUUAGUUGGGAAAGUUUUUCGCUAAGAGAUCGGUCUAUAUCCCAUCAGUUAGUUGGUAGUGUAAGAGACUACCAAGGCGAUGACGGGUAGCGGGUUUGAGAGGAUGAUCCGCCACACUGGUACUGAGACACGGACCAGACUCCUACGGGAGGCAGCAGUGAGGAAUAUUGCACAAUGGGGGGAACCCUGAUGCAGCAACGCCGCGUGGAGGAUGACGCAUUUCGGUGUGUAAACUCCUUUUAUAAGGGAAGGAAAUGACGGUACCUUAUGAAUAAGCACCGGCUAACUCCGUGCCAGCAGCCGCGGUAAUACGGAGGGUGCAAGCGUUACUCGGAAUCACUGGGCGUAAAGGACGCGUAGGCGGAUUGCCAAGUCUGAUGUGAAAUCCUAUGGCUCAACCAUAGAACUGCAUUGGAAACUGGUAAUCUAGAGUAUGGGAGGGGGAGAUGGAAUUAGUGGUGUAGGGGUAAAAUCCGUAGAUAUCACUAGGAAUACCGAAAGCGAAGGCGAUCUCCUGGAACAUAACUGACGCUAAGGCGUGAAAGCGUGGGGAGCAAACGGGAUUAGAUACCCCGGUAGUCCACGCCCUAAACGAUGAACACUAGUCGUCGGGAUGCUAGUCAUCUCGGUGAUGCACUUAACAGAUUAAGUGUUCCGCCUGGGGAGUACGGUCGCAAGAUUAAAACUCAAAGGAAUAGACGG
rnacentral:rRNA from 1 species